GCCAGUCUGCCCCCCAGGGAAGGAAGGUGGCUCCCCUCGGCAAUGGGCGGAGGGAGCAGGAAAGUCUUUGCAGCCUUCUAGCAUCCCCUGAAGGACAAGUGCAGCCACCUGGGGGUGGGGCAGCAACAGGACGAGGGUCCUGUGAGCCCUUCCUCAGCACUUGGCGCCCUGAGUCUGGGCUCUGGAGAGUCAGUUUCCUGUACUGCUCCCGUGUGGCCCCCUAAUCACUCACUGCCCUUCCCGGGGCCCCAUGAGCCUUCCCCUGGACCCUCACUGCCCCGUCGAGGUUUAUGGGGACUUUGCUCCUCCCUUCCCCUACCUCCCCUCCCCUCCCAGUCCUCUCCUCCCCUGUCCCUGCCCUUGCCCCAUCCCUCACCUCCCGUGGGGGUGCACCCUGCCUGUGGGCCCCCACUGGCUCCCUGUGCAUUGUCCCUGUUCCCGCAGGUGCCUGACCCACAGGGCACAUUGAAAAAUAAUUAGCUCGGUCAUAUUUUCAUAAUAAGAGAAUAUGACAGCAAUUCUAUGAUCUGUUAGUAGUGAAACAACAAAUGCUGAUACAUACCCUGAGAAGUCUGCCUCUGGGGGGGUGAGAGGGGGCUCAGAGUUAGCAGGAACCUUCUAGAGACAGACCCUGUGGCCAGCCCACCACACACCAAUCACUCCUGUGCCACAUGCUUUCCAACACUUCUCUGAGCCACGGCCCUGUUCCCCCCAAAGACAGAGCAGGAUCUGAGUCCUGGUCCCUGGGCCUCGUGGCGGCAGGGCCACGUGGCUCUUGCUACCUCCUGUCCCAGAUGUGGCGGUAGAGACGUGGGCUUGAGUCUUCCCGCCCAGAGCUUUGAGGCCGGUCUGCAGGCCCUGCGACCGCCCCCCUCCUGCCGUCCGGUUCCCCCGGGGAUGCUGGUGGCCACGGGCUGGGUUAUCUUCAGGUAUGGGGAAACCAGGGGUCCGGGUCAAACAUCUGCCAAAGUCAAAGUCCUCCUCAGCAGAGAGGGGGUGGGCUCUACGCUCCCUGCCGGUGCUCGGCCAGAGCUGAGCGUGGCCACCCCUGGGGCACCAGGCCACGAUGACCACCCGUGCGGCCCUCACCCACGUGGCCGGCCUCUCCCCCGCCACCAGUGGGGCCACCAGAGACCCGGUCAGCUGGUGUCUGGAGGCCCAGGGAGGGAGUGAGGCCCCACGGCUGGGGGGGUCUAAGUCAGACGCUAAGAAGCAAGGAAGUUUCUGUGGGCGGACACAGAUGCAGAUCUGUCUCCUUCUAGAACAGCCCGAAGCUUCCUUCUUGGAAGUGAACGCAUUGGAUGUAUUGGUGGGUGCACGGGCCUGGCCCCGGCUCAGCUCCAUCUGGAGGGUCACCUGGUCUUGUGAGUGUGCUGCACCCAGGCCACCUGACCGAGGGGCCAGGGCGACGCUGGCUGGUCCUGCUGCGCCCAGGAGAGUCACCUGUCUUCUGCAUCUGUGUUUGGUUCCCAUCUGGGCCUGGCUGUCCCUACUUCUCCCAUAUCUGAAUAGCCGAGGAAGCCCCUCAUGCUGGAGGCCCCGGUUGUGCACGCGCCCGCAGGGGCUCCGAGGAACUUGAUCCAGCCUGGUGAAAAUGUGGCAGAGAAGGCUUGGCCUCAUGUGUGGUGUGGUCACCACGGGGGCCGUGCCCGGAACAGGCCUUCCCCAAUGCCAGUGGUCUCUAAGCUGCCAUCCUGUGUCUUCUAAAGGGUCCUCAGCAGGUCCCCAGGCGAGCCCAGAGUCCUGUCACUCACUUCACCCGAUAACCCUCUUUCAAGCCCUCUGGGCUCCUCAUGGGGCACGUGGAGCCCAGAGGAGAGCCCCCCUUUCCCGCCCACCCUGACCCUCCAUGCUGCAGCCGGUCCCUGUGUGUCCCCGGGGCUGAGUGACGCCCAGGAGGGAGGGCGUCCCAAGGACAGGUGCCUGAGAGUGGCCUCAGCAAGGUGUUCGUGCCCCCAUGUCCACUUCCACAAGGGCAAGUGGGGAACCCCAGCCUGCUCACGUCUCUAAUGGACUCAGGCAAAUCACUCUGGCUUUUCUUUAGUUCACUUAUCCCCCAAAGGGGACUCCGGUUAAGUUGUGAGUCUCUGCAAAGCCCUGUCCUCUUUAUAAAGACAAUUUCCGUCUUGAGGGUCACCAGGCCCCAGUACCUUCUGCUCUGACCUUGCUCGGGAAAGUGCAGAUGGGGACACUGAAGCAUCACGGGAGACGCAGCCCAGGAGGAGUGUGACGGAGCAGGGGACGGCGUCUCUGUGCUGUUCACAGCUUUCUGCAGCGUUCAGUGAUGCCGUGUGGGCUCCAAGUACGCAGGUAGGUAAAAUGUGUUCUGGGAGAAACUUCUAAGAGUUUAUACUUUUCUCCUUUGGCAAGAACGGUGUGCCUGCAGCCACGGAGGAGGCUGCGGGAGGAAGGCCGGUUUCUCGGGGGCCACUGUCUCCGGGUGGCCUGGGCCAGCAGACCCGGCUGCCGGUGCAAGAACUUGUAUGCAUUUUGCCGACUGCCACCAGCUGCCACCGUGCUGAGGCCACCAAACGCUCUUACGCUGGUGCCUGGGGAGAUGUGCACAUAGCUUCCACCGAUGGAAAGUUGGAAUGCUGCAGGCGGCCAGGCCGGGAGCGCAGUGAGUGGAGGUGUGCGGGAGCGGAGGCGCGGCCACCUCUGGGACACGCGUGCAGGUGGAGCGGGCAGGCCCUCCCGUUCGGUGGCUCCCUGGCCCUGUGCGAACGGGCCUGGCAGACAGAGGAUGCGACUGCCCCGGCCCCUCUCCCUGCCGCACCCUGCCUCAGCUGGGCCAGCGAGCAGGCUCUGUCUGUCCCUCGUUCUCGUGGCAGAACACUGCAGAGCAACAUGCGGACCUGAGGGGACCCUCCCUGUUGGGACCCCUGCAGAGGGCUCUCGGUGCACAUCCCCCCGGGAGCCUGCGCUCAGCAGAGGGACCGCCUCCACUGGGCUCGGGUGCACACCGUGAGUGCCAGGGCCCCGCUGGGCGACCGGAGGGCCGGCCGUGGGGGAGGGGCCGUUCCUCCUGCCAAGAGGCUGCUUCCCAGAACCAAGUGCUCUGGAGUAAACAACGCUGAGAACAGAGGGAAACAGCAUCUCCUCCGCGCUCACUGCCCCGCGGCUGCCUCCUCGGUUCACUGGAAACGGAACGGGCCUCGGUUGUGAAAUUCUGCUCCUGCGCGGUCAGCACCUCCCGCGUGCUCCCGGCCGUGUUUAUGCACAAACGAUUACGUGCUGUGUCGGCCUCGGGGGGGAGUCCGGGCAGCAGACAGCCGGCCCGAGAGGGAGGCCCGGGGCACGCACACGUUGCACAAGCCGGCCCCGGGCCUGGAUCCCCCCGCGCUGGUGGCCCUGGGAAGGCGGUCAGCUGACGCUGGGGUGCAGGCUGCCUGGAAGCGGGCCCCAGGGCCGAGUGCGCAAGCUUGUGAACCUGCCUCGGGUGCCGUCUGGACGCCGACGACAACACUCUGCGGCCGGCUUCCGUCUUCCCCAUCUGCCGGGGCGCGGGGAUUGGUGGCCCCCCUUGCGUCCUGGGGGGAACGCAAGUCUCCAGGGGCGGGGUGUGGCCCGCUCACUGGUGGGAGAGGAGCUGACCGGGGCCCAGCUCUUGCCCUCUCCCCCGGGGCUGCCCUGACCUGAAGGGCAGCAGGUAUCAUUGUCCUCGGAGCAGUUUAGAGCCGCUCCUGUGGGCUGUGUGGAUGGCGCUCGGGGCCCUCACCAUCUGUCAGACCCAGAGCUGUGCAGGGGGUAGGCUGAGGUCCCUUGCAGUUGCCCGUUUCUGCUGCCUUAUUGGAGGGAAGGGGCCGGGAGGUACCACAGGUUUCUCUUUCCACUGGCUUGCAUUAUGCCCCCCAAACUCGUGACACCAGGUCCCCGGGGGCCCUGUCAACUCACAGCAAACGAACAAUACAUUCAAGCUCUGUGCGUGGUGCUCACGGCCACCUGGUGGGGGCCACGGCUCGGCUUUGGGACUCCACACCUGCUCAAGUGAGUACGUCCCUGUGGGGUGUCACCCAUGCAGCUGUGACGUGUCUGUACCCCAGGGUGUUGGGAAGAGAAACGGGACACAGACAGAGUUCUGCAGGCAGAGGGAGACAUUUGAGAGGGUCUGAGGUCAACUAGGAUGUCAAGGCAAAGUACCAGGACGCCACACUCCCCUCCCCCCGCCCACACCAAGGGUCUUAAGAAAAUGGGUCCCAGAAUCCCUGGAACAAUGCAGCCAGCUUUCACUCCACACUCUGCCUGGUCACCCAACAGUCCCCACCACUCACCCUCCUGGGCUUCUGUGGGCCAUCUGGGAAGUCCCGGGGGGCCCCAUCACCGCCCCGCUCUGGUCACCAGGCUGGAGGGAGGCAGGUGAGCAGGCUUCCUCAGGGUCCCCCGGGCCGACAGGGGCGGCCUCUGUGUGCGUGCUGCGCCCCUCCUGGGUGGGUGUUGGCUCCGUGGGAGGUGUGGGUGGGCCACACAGCCCCAUGGAGAUGUCAGUUUCCAAAACAGGAAUAUCUCCCAAAGUCUACGGCCCUCUGCUUAAGGACCAACCUCGCACGAGGCCUGGAGCCCAAGCCAUACUCUGCUGCUGGCAGCAUGACCUUGGGCAGACUAGACUUUCAUGGGCUGAGAAUAUUGCCUCCUUGGAAGAAUGUUCCGAGACAUUUCAUGGGAGAACGUGGGUGAAAGCCCCGAGCUCGGUGAGUUUUAACCACAGUUAGUGCCUUUCUUCGUCAUUGAAGAAACAGGAUGGGGGGAAAAGGCUGUUGGGAACAGGCUGCUGGAGAAGAGGCCACACAGGCUCCCCACCCCCACCCCAGGCCGCUGUCAGAGGGCCCAGAGGCCCCGGAAGCAGGAAGCACAAGACGUGGAAGAGCCCUUGGGUGAUGGUGAGUGCGCGCGCGCACACACACACACGUACAUACUCACGCACACACCAAGACCCAGCCCCUUCCCCAGGAGCCUGCUUUCCCACGUGGGGGCAGAAACGUGGCUCAUUCCAGGAAGGCUCCCGGCUGAGCCAGCUUUCCAAGUGUGGGUGUCUCGCAGGGUGCCAUUCACAGGGUCUGGAAAUCCAGAGGCCACGAGGGUGUGAGAGAGGCCACGUAGGGCCCGCCACAUGUCCGUGUCCUUGAGUUUUGCUGUAGGACUUGACUGAAUUUUAAUGGUACAUGGCCCAGGGUGAAAUUCACCAUGAUGAGGAUUUUUCAAGACUCCUCAGGCUUUAUUCCGCCAACACUGGGGUGAGGUGCUGGGGAUUCUUGGGGCUCUGUGGCCCUGCAGUGUCAGAAUCAUGGGUGUCUCUGAUAAAGGCAGAUACCUGGGAUGCCCUGCCGACAUCUGGUUGGACCAGGGUCCGGGCAUCUGCAUUAAAACCCACUGAUGAAGGGGCGCCUGGGUGGCUGAGUCAGUUAAGCAGCCGACUUCGGCUCAGGUCAUGAUCUCGUGGUUCGUGGGUUCGAGCCCCGCAUCGGGCUCUGUGCUGACGGCUCGGAGCCCGGAGCCCGCUUCGGAUUCUGUCUCCCUCUCCCUCUGCACCCACGCCCCCUAUUCUCUCUCAGUCUCAAAAAUAAACCCUAAAAAACAGAACUAAAAAACCCCACUGAUGAAGACAACUAAGGGAAAUCACGGGCCAAGACACACUCUUCUCCAAAAUCUAAUUAUUGGGGGGCCUGCUGGGCACGUGCUAUGUCCAAUCUGGUCCGACCCCUCCCAGAGUGGCCAGGCGAUGCCCUCCCGAGAGGACACCAAGAAGAAAGCCUGGAGCUUUUCUCUCUGGGUCUCUUCUCUUUCCCUGAAAACGCUGCCAGGUGUAACCUGCUCAGAGGCCGACCCUUUCCUCCCCUGGCAUCCUCGGGGUCACGGGGACGCAUGAAGGUACGGCUUUGUCACACACGCCUUUGUCACGUUCUGAUCCCGUACGGAGUGGGGACAGGGAAGGCGGCCCUCCAGGACACUGCUUGGAACGAGGUGUUCCGGCCCGCCUGGCCCAGCUGCCACCCGGAGAACCCGUCCGGCCGCUCUCAGGAGGAAGGAGCGCCGGAGGGAGCCGGGGCAGGCCCGCCCCCUCCACUGCGCAUGCGCCCCCUCCUGCCGAGACCCGGGAAGGCCCCGCCCCUCCCCAGCUGCAAGGAUAGAGGCCCCGUACUCCACCUUCACCCUGUAAAAUGCCCGUGUUCACCGGCUGGAUGCCUGUGGGGCAGGCCCCAGCCUCCAGUCUCUCCGUGACUUGUGAUGGCAGAGGCCAUCAGCAACUGUGGAUUGGUCCUUCUCCAUGGGGUGGGGAGACCUCAUUCUGUGUGUGCUGGUCGAUUCGGGAGCUCAAGGGCUCCUCUGAAAGGAAGUGCUCAGUGCCGAGGGAAGUAAGCAGCAAGGAAGAAGGUCAGCGGGACCCAGUUAGCCAUCCCCUGGGGAAGGGACCAUUGUGUCUCUGGGGUCUGACCCUUGUACAUGGGACCCAUGGAUGAGGCCCAUGGAGCACAGCCAGAGCAAAGUCAAGGAGAAGGUCUGGCCCUUGUUCCUGGCUGUGCCCCAGGAUCUCUCUUUGCACCCAAGGACGGCUGAUGAACAAGGCCCUGGGAGGGGGGGAGGGGCACCUCUGCAGACCUUCCCAUUUGCCUGGGUGCAGUGCGGCCUGGGCACACGGGGGGACUGGGAAGUCACAGCCCGAAGGGGCAGGGAGAGCAGGAGACAAGCUUCUGUCUGAUCCCGGCCCGGCUGACUGUCGCUUGCAGGGUCUGGGCUCCGUCACCUGGCUCCGCUUACAACUCCAUCACCUGUGACAGGAGGUGACGUCAGCUCCCGUCUGUCAGAGGUCAUGUGUGCUUCCUGGACUCCAUCGUCACAGCAGACCCGUGAGCUGGGCCUGGUGUCUCCUUUGGCUCCCACGCAGGGGACGUGUGUCUCCCAGAGCUUGGGAAAGCUGUCGGUGCCCCACAACCAGGCCAGGACAGAGAUGGCCUGUCACCUGCCGCCGGCUCCGAUCACUGCUCUGUAGGGCCCCGCCCCGCACCUGCUUCUGGCGUGAGGUGCAAAGUGAUGACCCAGGAACUGAUGUGAAGUCAGGGUCAGGGCUCAGGCUGCCUGGCUCAGAGCCCUGUCGUCCAAUGUGUGAACCUUUAGAAGCCACACAUGUGGGGGGCACCUGGAUGGCUCAGUCGGUUGAGCAUCCGACUUCAGCUCAGGUGGUGAUCUCUCAGUUUGAGAGUUGGAGCCCCGCGUCGGGCUCUGGGCUGACAGCUUAGAGCCUGGAGCCCGCUUCGGAUUCUGUGUCUCCAUCUCUCUCUGCCCCUCCCUCCCUCUCUGUCUC